rnacentral:tRNA from 1 species
GCACUGGUGGUUCAGUGGUAGAAUUCUUACCUUCUUUGUUGGAGACCUGGGUUUGAUUUCUAGCCAAUACA